rnacentral:rRNA from 1 species
GACGAACGCUGGCGGCGUGCCUAAUACAUGCAAGUAGAACGCUGAAGAGAGGAGCUUGCUCUUCUUGGAUGAGUUGCGAACGGGUGAGUAACGCGUAGGUAACCUGCCUUGUAGCGGGGGAUAACUAUUGGAAACGAUAGCUAAUACCGCAUAACAAUGGAUGACACAUGUCAUUUAUUUGAAAGGGGCAAUUGCUCCACUACAAGAUGGACCUGCGUUGUAUUAGCUAGUAGGUGAGGUAACGGCUCACCUAGGCGACGAUACAUAGCCGACCUGAGAGGGUGAUCGGCCACACUGGGACUGAGACACGGCCCAGACUCCUAUGGGAGGCAGCAGUAGGGAAUCUUCGGCAAUGGGGGCAACCCUGACCGAGCAACGCCGCGUGAGUGAAGAAGGUUUUCGGAUCGUAAAGCUCUGUUGUAAGUCAAGAACGAGUGUGAGAGUGGAAAGUUCACACUGUGACGGUAGCUUACCAGAAAGGGACGGCUAACUACGUGCCAGCAGCCGCGGUAAUACGUAGGUCCCGAGCGUUGUCCGGAUUUAUUGGGCGUAAAGCGAGCGCAGGCGGUUUGAUAAGUCUGAAGUUAAAGGCUGUGGCUCAACCAUAGUUCGCUUUGGAAACUGUCAAACUUGAGUGCAGAAGGGGAGAGUGGAAUUCCAUGUGUAGCGGUGAAAUGCGUAGAUAUAUGGAGGAACACCGGUGGCGAAAGCGGCUCUCUGGUCUGUAACUGACGCUGAGGCUCGAAAGCGUGGGGAGCGAACAGGG